AGUGAACGCUGGCGGUAGGCCUAACACAUGCAAGUCGAACGGCAGCACAGUAAGAGCUUGCUCUUACGGGUGGCGAGUGGCGGACGGGUGAGGAAUACAGCGGAAUCUACUUUUUCGUGGGGGAUAACGUAGGGAAACUUACGCUAAUACCGCAUACGACCUACGGGUGAAAGCAGGGGAUCUUCGGACCUUGCGCGAUUGAAUGAGCCGAUGUCAGAUUAGCUAGUUGGCGGGGUAAAGGCCCACCAAGGCGACGAUCCGUAGCUGGUCCGAGAGGAUGAUCAGCCACACUAGAACUGAGACACGGUCCAGACUCCUACGGCAUGCCGCAGUGGGGAAUAUUGGAGAAUGGGCGCAAGCCUGAUCCAGCAAUACCGCGUCGGUGAAGAAGGCCCUCGGGUUGUAAAGCCCUUUUGUUGGGAAAGAAAAGCAGCAGGUUAAUCCCCCGCUGUUCUGACGGUACCCAAAGAAUAAGCACCGGCUAACUUCGUG
rnacentral:rRNA from 1 species